rnacentral:lncRNA from 1 species
CUGUUUCUGCUACUGCGCUCAGAAACUCACCAGUGUGCACAAAUCAGUUAUGGCUCUGCUUGCUUCCUCAUGUUGAACUCUAGCAAAAGCCUUGCAAUGCAGAAGCUAUAAAAUAUUUUAAUUUCAUGCCUUAUUUUCAAUAAACUAAAAAACAGGAGUGUUAAUCUGUGUCUUUUCAGUUUAUUACUGAAAGUGAAGUUGCUGGCUUUGAAAAAAUUGUGGAGAAUCCAGUCAGUUGUGUGUGAUGGAAGGAGAGAGGAAGAGAUCUCUGAUACUACCCUUGUUUUCCUUCAGUUUGUCUCUCUUGGAAAGGAAUCCUUGCAGAAAGGUAGUGGCAGUUUCAGAGAUUUCCAUGUCUUCCCUCAUUUGCCCUGUUCAUAAAGAAAAGAACUGGAGCAGCCACUGGAAUAGAAAUGGGCACGACAAAUGGUCUGAGAUCUGGAUUUGUGUUUCUGCUGCAGAAGUGAUGGUUAUGCUGGAAGGAGCUACAGAGGCAUUCCCAGAGACGUGACAAAUAUCUGUAGCAAACAUGAAAUUGGACUGUUUUGGGCACCUCAGCAUGAGAUUGCACUUUAGAAGCAAUAGUUCCUGCAAAGUUACUAGGGAAGCAUCUGUACAAGGCAUGACCAGUUUCUUCUCCCUUUCUUGCAAAGACAGCACUGAAAGCACUAGAAUUUUUUGGCUUUGAAUUCAAAGAGAAUUUUUUAAAUAUGAAGUCAUGUCAAUAAAUGAAGUAUCCAGAUCUAUUUUCA